GGGCGAGUGGCGGAAUUGGCAGACGCGCAGGCUUCAGGUGCCUGUGAGCUUACGCUCGUGGGGGUUCAAGUCCCCCCUCGCCCAC
rnacentral:tRNA from 2 species